rnacentral:tRNA from 1 species
GGGCAUGUAGCUCAGUGGUUAGAGCAUGCGUCUUAUAAGCGCAGGGUCGAUGGUUCGAUCCCAUCCAUGCCCA